rnacentral:rRNA from 1 species
GAAGGCUAUGUUGGCCGGGCGACGGUUGUCCCGGUUUAAGCGUGUAGGCUGGUUUUCCAGGCAAAUCCGGAGAAUCAAGGCUGAGGCGUGAUGACGAGGCACUACGGUGCUGAAGCAACAAAUGCCCUGCUUCCAGGAAAAGCCUCUAAGCAUCAGGUAACAUCAAAUCGUACCCCAAACCGACACAGGUGGUCAGGUAGAGAAUACCAAGGCGCUUGAGAGAACUCGGGUGAAGGAACUAGGCAAAAUGGUGCCGUAACUUCGGGAGAAGGCACGCUGAUAUGUAGGUGAAGCGACUUGCUCGUGGAGCUGAAAUCAGUCGAAGAUACCAGCUGGCUGCAACUGUUUAUUAAAAACACAGCACUGUGCAAACACGAAAGUGGACGUAUACGGUGUGACGCCUGCCCGGUGCCGGAAGGUUAAUUGAUGGGGUCAGCGCAAGCGAAGCUCUUGAUCGAAGCCCCGGUAAACGGCGGCCGUAACUAUAACGGUCCUAAGGUAGCGAAAUUCCUUGUCGGGUAAGUUCCGACCUGCACGAAUGGCGUAAUGAUGGCCAGGCUGUCUCCACCCGAGACUCAGUGAAAUUGAACUCGCUGUGAAGAUGCAGUGUACCCGCGGCAAGACGGAAAGACCCCGUGAACCUUUACUAUAGCUUGACACUGAACACUGGUCCUUGAUGUGUAGGAUAGGUGGGAGGCUUUGAAGUGUGGACGCCAGUCUGCAUGGAGCCGUCCUUGAAAUACCACCCUUUAAUGGCUGGUGUUCUAACGUAGGCCCCUUACCGGGGUUGCGGACAGUGUCUGGUGGGUAGUUUGACUGGGGCGGUCUCCUCCUAAAGAGUAACGGAGGAGCACGAAGGUUGGCUAAUCCUGGUCGGACAUCAGGAGGUUAGUGCAAUGGCAUAAGCCAGCUUGACUGCGAGCGUGACGGCGCGAGCAGGUGCGAAAGCAGGUCAUAGUGAUCCGGUGGUUCUGAAUGGAAGGGCCAUCGCUCAACGGAUAAAAGGUACUCCGGGGAUAACAGGCUGAUACCGCCCAAGAGUUCAUAUCGACGGCGGUGUUUGGCACCUCGAUGUCGGCUCAUCACAUCCUGGGGCUGAAGUAGGUCCCAAGGGUAUGGCUGUUCGCCAUUUAAAGUGGUACGCGAGCUGGGUUUAGAACGUCGUGAGACAGUUCGGUCCCUAUCUGCCGUGGGCGCUGGAGAACUGAGGGGGGCUGCUCCUAGUACGAGAGGACCGGAGUGGACGCAUCACUGGUGUUCGGGUUGUCAUGCCAAUGGCACUGCCCGGUAGCUAAAUGCGGAAGAGAUAAGUGCUGAAAGCAUCUAAGCACGAAACUUGCCCCGAGAUGAGUUCUCCCUGAGACUUAGAGUCUCCUGAAGGAACGUUGAAGACGACGACGUUGAUAGGCCGGGUGUGUAAGCGCAGCGAUGCGUUGAGCUAACCGGUACUAAUGAACCGUGAGGCUUAACCUUACAACGCCGAAG